GGAAUCAGUCAGGAGCUAUUAACAGUUUAAUUGAUACGCUUUUAUGAAGAAGUGAGUUUUUAACGAUUUUUGAAGGAGGGGAGACUGGGUGAGCAUCUAACGGAGGAGGGAAGCAAGUUCCACAGGAACGGUGCAGCCCUCGAGAAAUCUUGAAGGCGAGCAUCAGAGGUGGGAGUACGGACAGAAGAUAGACGUAAGUCUUCAGCAGAUCGUAAG